UACGUAGGGCGCAAGCGUUAUCCGGAAUUAUUGGGCGUAAAGAGCUCGUAGGCGGUCUGUCGCGUCGGCUGUGAAAACUCGGGGCUCAACUCCGAGCUUGCAGUCGAUACGGGCAGGCUAGAGUUCGGCAGGGGAGACUGGAAUUCCUGGUGUAGCGGUGAAAUGCGUAGAUAUCAGGAGGAACACCGGUGGCGAAGGCGGGUCUCUGGGCCGAUACUGACGCUGAGGAGCGAAAGCGUGGGGAGCGAACAGG
rnacentral:rRNA from 1 species